AUUGAACGCUGGCGGCAGGCCUAACACAUGCAAGUCGAACGAGUGGCGGACGGGUGAGUAAUGCUUGGGAAUCGAGCUGAUGGAGGGGGAUAACUACGGGAAAAUGUAGCUAAUACCGCGUACCAUAGGAUGAGCCCAAGUGGGAUUAGGUAGUUGGUGAGGUAAAGGCUCACCGAGCUGACGAUCUCGAGCUGGUCUGAGAGGAUGACCAGCCACACUGGGACUGAGUAACGGCCCAGACUCCUACGGGAGGCAUCAGUGGGGAAUAUUGCGCAAUGGGGGCAACCUGACGCAGCCAUGCCGCUUGCAUGAAGAAGGCCUUCGGGUUGUAAAGUUCUUUCGGUAGCGAGGCGUUAACUACAGAAGAAGCACCGGCUAACUCCGUGCCAGCAGCCGCGGUAAUAC
rnacentral:rRNA from 1 species